GAGGGUGUAGCUCAGUGGUAGAGCGCAUGCCUAGCAUGUGUGAGGUCCUGGGUUCAGUCCUCAGUACCUCCA
rnacentral:tRNA from 1 species